rnacentral:rRNA from 1 species
GAUGAACGCUGGCGGCGUGCCUAAUACAUGCAAGUCGAGCGAACAGACGAGGAGCUUGCUCCUCUGACGUUAGCGGCGGACGGGUGAGUAACACGUGGAUAACCUACCUAUAAGACUGGGAUAACUUCGGGAAACCGGAGCUAAUACCGGAUAAUAUAUUGAACCGCAUGGUUCAAUAGUGAAAGACGGUUUUGCUGUCACUUAUAGAUGGAUCCGCGCCGCAUUAGCUAGUUGGUAAGGUAACGGCUUACCAAGGCAACGAUGCGUAGCCGACCUGAGAGGGUGAUCGGCCACACUGGAACUGAGACACGGUCCAGACUCCUACGGGAGGCAGCAGUAGGGAAUCCUCCGCAAAGGGCGAAAGCCUUACGGAGCAACGCCGCGUGAGUGAUGAAGGUCUUCGGAUCGUAAAACUCUGUUAUUAGGGAAGAACAAAUGUGUAAGGAACUAUGCACGUCUUGACGGUACCUAAUCAGAAAGCCACGGCUAACUACGUG